AGUGAACGCUGGCGGUAGGCCUAACACAUGCAAGUCGAACGGCAGCACAGUAAGAGCUUGCUCUUACGGGUGGCGAGUGGCGGACGGGUGAGGAAUACAUCGGAAUCUACUUUUUCGUGGGGGAUAACGUAGGGAAACUUACGCUAAUACCGCAUACGACCUACGGGUGAAAGCAGGGGUUCUUGGGACUUUUGCUGUUUGAUUUAGCCGAUGUCGGAUUAGCUAGUUGGGGGGGUAAAGGCCCACCAAGGCGACGAUGCGUAGCUGGUCUGAGAGGAUGAUCAGCCACACUGGAACUGAGACACGGUCCAGACUCCUACGGGAGGCAGCAGUGGGGAAUAUUGGACAAUGGGCGCAAGCCUGAUCCAGCCAUACCGCGUGGGUGAAGAAGGCCUUCGGGUUGUAAAGCCCUUUUGUUGGGGAAGAAAAGCAGCAGGUUAAUACCCCGCUGUUCUGACGGUACCCAAACAAUAAGCACCGGCUAACUUCGUG
rnacentral:rRNA from 1 species